AAGCUUCAGCAGCGCAUAUACUAAAAUUAAAACGAUACAGAGAAUAUUAGUACAGCCCUGCACAAGGAUGAUACGCAAAUUGGUGAAGCGUUCCAUAUUUUU